CGGAGGGGGCGGGACGGAGUGCCGGGAUUGGUUAAUCACGAUGGGGUUUUUUUCCUCCGGCCACACGACCUGUCUCCUCGAGAGCUUUUUCUGCGUUGGCGGAGCGGACAUUAGAGAAGCACGCAGACUUUCUCGAGAGUGACGUCAACGCAACCUUUGGCUCCCAUUGGGCGUCGAAUUAAGCAGAGAUGUAACAGAGGAUUUGAUUGGCCCACGUUCUCUCUAACCAAGAGAUCUCGAUGGCGAUUGGCGGACGGAGCUGAUGGGUCCAAGAGGCUCAUGGGAGUUUGGGCACUGAGGGGCCUAUAUUUACAAUGCAGAAUUAACCCAGUUUUAACACAUAAUUAUAUUACUGUGUCUGGAAGAAGAAAGCAGAUGGGAAGAAAACCAAUUCAUUGGAGAUUUGGGGCUGGAGGAUACCAUUGACUACCAAGAAGACACACAAAUGGGCCUGUGAUUCCAUGCGCAUAAGGACAAUAACAUUUCCAGCUUGAGCCAUUAAAAAAACCACAGAGAAAUUAUUAGCAGCCUUUGGUGAAAGGAAAGAGGUCUUGGCAUCUGAAGUUAAGGGGGAUCGCGGUUGGCGCCGACGGAGGAGAUUUCGACGGAGCUCCAAAGGCAGGUCCUGAUGUUGAGAGCUGUUCCGACAGUGGAAUAUUCUGCCUUGGGGAGUGAUGGAGUCUCUUUCUUUGGAAGUUAUUAAACAGAGGCUUGAUGGAAAUAUGUCACAGCCCAGCCUUGAGUCACCUGCAGGAGCUUUUCCGCAACGGGACGCUUCUUGGGGUUCUUGGUUAAGGCGAGCUUCAAGAAGUGCUGGAAAUCUGCAGACCUGGAAGAAAAAGAAAUGAUUGUGCAUCCACAAGAAACCAGAUCCAGUCUAACCCCUUGCUAUGCAAGGAUGCCCGGCUAAAGUACGCCUGAAAGAUGCCCACCCAACCUCUGUGUAAAGAGACCUCUUCUGAAUGAAACUCCGCCACCCCUGAAUGCAAUCUAUUCCACUGUCAAACAAGGCUUGUACAGUUUUUAAAAGUUCUCUUAAUGCUCAGGUGGGAUCUCUUUUCUUCUCAUUUCAAUCCACUGGUUCUUGUUCUGGUACAGCAUAAAAUAAUCUCCCAGCGGGCCCUCUGUAUCCGCAGACUUCGGAUCUGCUAAUCUAACCUCUGGCUCAAAAACAUCACUUUGAACCCUGACUUUCCACAGAUCAGCCCCAGGACAUAUAAACUAGUAGUGCUAGGAACCUCUGGGCAUGUCUAGAGUGCCUCCACCAAAUUUCCCAGCAGCUCAAAGCUGCGUUGGAGGAGUCCUUCUAGUUAAACUGCCUCAUAUUUGAGUUCGCCGGCUCUCCUAGAAGAGAAUCCAGAGUGCCUUUGGGGACCACAGAAUCCCAGAUUUGGAAGAGACUCGAUGCCACCUAGUUCA